rnacentral:rRNA from 1 species
UACGUAGGGGGCAAGCGUUGUCCGGAAUCAUUGGGCGUAAAGAGCUCGUAGGCGGACUGUCACGUCUGCUGUGAAAAGCUGGGGCUUAACCCUGGCCUUGCAGUGGAUACGGGCAGACUAGAGGUAGGUAGGGGAGAAUGGAAUUCCCGGUGUAGCGGUGAAAUGCGCAGAUAUCGGGAGGAACACCGGUGGCGAAGGCGGUUCUCUGGGCCUGUACUGACGCUGAGGAGCGAAAGCGUGGGGAGCGAACAGG